AGGGGCCUUUUCCCUCUCCCCAGGCUGUAGCACAGACUGCCAGACCCACUGCCUCAUAGACUGCAGGCAGGGAUAUUACUACACAGCUGGCAACUGCUUGGAAUGUCCAACAGGUUUCUAUUGCCCUGGGGGUCAAGCAGCUCCAAGGAAAUGCCCACUGGGAACAGCCAAUGUACUUACGGCUCAAACAGAUAUCACUGCCUGCCAGGUUUGUCCCCGUGGCUACCUCAGCCUUGAGAGUGGAGCUGGGUGCCGUGCGUGUCCAGAGGGAUAUUCCUGCCAUCCCCAAAGCGGUGUGCAGAGGAGCUGUGCUCCUGGUCAGUACUCA